GACGAACGCUGGCGGCGUGCCUAAUACAUGCAAGUAGAACGCAGUUGCGAACGGGUGAGGAACGCGUAGGUAACUGACUCAUAGCGGGGGAUAACUAUUGGUAACGAUAGCUAAUACCGCAUACUGUGAGAUAUACCUGCGUUGUAUUAGGUAGUUGGCAAGGUAAAGGCUCAACAAGGCGACGAUACAUGGCCGACCUGAGAGGGUGAGCGGCCACAAUGGGAAUGAGACACGGCCCAGAACCCUGCGGGAGGGAGCAGUAGGGAAUCUUCGGCAAUGGACGGAAGUCUGACCGAGCAACGCCGGGGGAGAGUAGAAGGUUUUCAGAUCGGAAAGGUAUGUUGUUAGAGAAGCGGUAACUAAACAGAAAGGGACGGCUAACUACGUGCCAGCAGCCGCGGUAAUUC
rnacentral:rRNA from 1 species